rnacentral:rRNA from 1 species
UCACGAAAGUGGGCUGUACUAGAAGCAGGUGAGCCAACCGCAAGGAGGCAGCCUUCCAAGAUAUAACUCAUGAUUGGGGUG